rnacentral:tRNA from 1 species
GGCCCCAUCGUCUAGCCCGGUCCAGGACGCAAGGUUCUCAUCCUUGAAACCGGGGUUCGAAUCCCCGUGGGGUCA